rnacentral:tRNA from 1 species
GCAGUGGUAGAAUUCUUGCCUUGCAUGCAAGAGCCCCAGGUUCGAUUCCUGGUCAGUGCA